CGCCACUGUCCACAUAUCAGGUUCGUUGGUCGGCAAGUCAGUUAUCAACGGGUUGUCCGAGAUCGACCAGGAAGAGCGCCGUCAUCCAGACAACCUUCCUGCUGUCCAGUGCUUUUCUGCUCAUCUCUCUGAUGCUGCCAACGAAAUUGGACGCUGGUUGGUCCGCGGAACAACGUGACAAGAGCCAUCAAAAACCCAAAUGCUACGGCGCAGAGCUCCAGUUGGCGACCGCAGCGGCUGCGAGCAGAUCGAGCUGCAACCGAACGUACGACUAUAAUCGCAGCAUUGUGUCAAGGGUGAACCCCCC